CAGUAGCCGCGGGAAUACGUAGGGUGCAAGCGUUAAUCGGAAUUACUGGGCGUAAAGCGUGCGCAGGCGGUUAUAUAAGUCAGAUGUGAAAUCCCCGGGCUCAACCUGGGAACUGCAUUUGAGACUGUAUAGCUAGAGUACGGUAGAGGGGGAUGGAAUUCCGCGUGUAGCAGUGAAAUGCGUAGAUAUGCGGAGGAACACCGAUGGCGAAGGCAAUCCCCUGGACCUGUACUGACGCUCAUGCACGAAAGCGUGGGGAGCAAACAGGAUUAGAUACCCCCGUAGUCCCUGUCUCUUAUAC
rnacentral:rRNA from 1 species